rnacentral:rRNA from 1 species
GGAACUGACUGCUAGACGAACGCUGGCGGCGUGCCUAAUACAUGCAAGUCGAGCGGACUUGUUAGAAGCUUGCUUCUAACAAGUUAGCGGCGGACGGGUGAGUAACACGUGGGUAACCUGCCUGUAAGAUGGGGAUAACUCCGGGAAACCGGAGCUAAUACCGAAUAACACUUUCGCUCGCAUGAGCGGAUGUUAAAAGACGGUUUCGGCUGUCACUUACAGAUGGACCCGCGGCGCAUUAGCUAGUUGGUGAGGUAACGGCUCACCAAGGCGACGAUGCGUAGCCGACCUGAGAGGGUGAUCGGCCACACUGGGACUGAGACACGGCCCAGACUCCUACGGGAGGCAGCAGUAGGGAAUCUUCCGCAAUGGACGAAAGUCUGACGGAGCAACGCCGCGUGAGUGAUGAAGGUUUUCGGAUCGUAAAACUCUGUUGUUAGGGAAGAACAAGUAUGAGAGUAACUGCUCGUACCUUGACGGUACCUAACCAGAAAGCCACGGCUAACUACGUGCCAGCCGCCGCGGUAAU